AUGACAAUAUUUAAUCAGUAAUGUAAACUGGCUCCAUAGCGCCCCCUAUGAAAUUUCAAGUAAGCAGCCCAAGCAGCAGGCAAAAUAGUGGACAAAGGAAGUGAUGUUUAUCUCCUUCACAAACCUGCUUCAUAUGUCACUGUUAAACAUCCAUUACUUAAGGCUAUCAAACCUACUUUUCAUGUUGAAUUACAUCUUACUUCUACCAGAUUUUUUUAAAGGAGGAUUCUAACAUUAAUGUUAAUUCCAGUUUUUAUGCUAUUGUUUGAAUGGCUCAUUUACCCCCCUUUAUUAAAGUUUUUUUAUGGUGGAAUAUAGUUUUAUGUGUUUUGUUUUUAUCUGUAGUUUUAUGGUUAUUUAUGACUUAUGUUCUGUAAUCAGUGUUUGAUAAAAACUGGAGCAUUGUGACUGUUAUGAUUUUUAUUGAUGAUACAUAGAAUUUACCACUACUUUAAAUACAUUUACUUCUUCACUUGAGUAGCCUACAAUUUAAGUUUUCAGUGUGGUAUCCUUAGUUUUACAUCUGCAAAGGACUUUUUUCCAUAAUCUUUCUUGUGAAUUAACAGCAGAAGUCCUAAAGAAGCCCCCCCUGAGGUCCGCGGCCCGCAGGUUAAGAACCACUACAGCAACCUGUCUCUGUCCAUGGUGCUGAAAUCACACCCGUCAAAUCACGACGUGGCCAUGGCUGAUGAGAGCAGCUUGUCUCGGCAGGUGGAGAGUGUGGAGAGGAGCAUGGUGUUCCUCAGGCAGGAGCACCUCACUUUGCUCCAUGGCCUCCACCUGGAGAUCCUCUCCCUGCAGAAACGAUGCUCAGAGUUGACGAGUGAGCUGAAGGUGAAGCCUCCAGGCAGAAGCCAAAUAGAGUUACAGGAGGAAGAGGAGCUCCUGGAGGCCCGCUGUCAGGAUGUGGAAGACCGUCUGGCUGAGCAGGAGUGCACCUUAGGAGAGCUUCGUAAGGAGCUGAGUCACAAGGGGGCCUUGGUGGGAGCCCUCAGAGGCAAUCUCAAGGAAAAAGAGCGCCACUUCCUGGAGGAGCUCAAACGCCGCAGCCACUGCUCCACCAUCCUGAACACGGAGCUGCAGAAACAAACAGAGGCAGCAGCAUACCUCUCCUUCCAGCUGCAUGCCGCCAGGCAGAAACUGCACCACCAGCGGAUGCAGCAGAGGCAGGGACUCCUCGCCAGAGCCAACAGUCAGGGCACCCAGUACAGCGGCGAGCAGAACUCAGUCUCUCCACAGAUGCCACCAGGAGCCUCCCCUUCCUCUCCGGUGGUCAAACCCAAGCGUAAGAGCGCUAGGGCAUCCUCGAGAGUGGACCGUGCCCGGGAAUGUGUGCCGAUAGAGAAAGUGAUGGGUCCUGCGGAGCCCACGGCCAUGCCGGACCCCGCACUCUUCCUCCACCCCCGGAGGCACAGAGCCCGCUCCAGGCACACUCUGGCACAAAGACCGCCUCCAAUGGGCCUGGAAAAGGAGGAUGAGGAGGAAGGAGCUGAGGAAAGGCCAGUGGAGCCCCAGGAGGAAGCUGCCAGACUGGUGUCUUCAGCUGCAGCACCCCCUGCUGCCGAGACCAAGGCAGAUUAGCAACUACUGUGACCUGUGCUUUAAACUACAGUUUGAUCACUGUAUAAUUAUCUUCUGUCAGACUGUUAAUACUGUUAACUGUUGUUCUGCACCUUGACUGAAUUGAUACUGGGACUGGUUUUAGCUAUUGAAUUAUAUUACACUUAGCAUAGACACUUUUUUAAUAUGGUAUUUGAUAUAACCUUAAAGAAGCAAAACUCAGUAAGUGUCACUUUAAGUCAGUCUUAAAUGAAAUUAGAAUUAUCUGUUUACACUGGUGUCACAUGCUCUAUAUACUGUGGGGCCUUAUUUGAAAGCAAUCCCUUUUUGAUUUAUGGUGAUGGUGAGUUUGAUGGUGGCCCCGCCAACUGUGACCUUUCAAGGUGACCCACAAACCACCGCAUGUGGCUAAAUGUUUGUGUGGCCACUGACUGCGUCACAGCUGAAAAUAUCUGAGGUGGGGGUGGCCACGACUGUGUCAGUGCUUCAUGUUAAAAAAAUAUAUUUGAAGGAAGCAUGUUCACCUCAUUUUGAAAAACUAUAUUUUACCUUUUUCUUUGACAGAAUUUUACAAUCCAUGACCAAGCUGCAUACUACUCUGUUAGAUCCAUUGUAUUUGUUAUACAUUUUAUACCUUAACCACAGAAAAUACUAAUAUUUGAUUGGCUUGGAGGUGUCCGUUAAAUUCAUUUAUCAGGACACUUCAAACAUAGUUCCAGUGUUGUGUUAAAGUCUGUUUCCAUGUGUUUCCCUUUACUUUAACUAGAACCCAACCUUAGCAGUAACACCCUUUACCCUUAGCCCUUAAUGCCAAACGGAUGACAAAAAGUACUAUUUAUACUUACUAUUGGAAACACUUUUCGAGGAGAAAAACUACUUCAAUACCAAUCUGGUCAGUGGUUGAAAAUCAGUUAAGUUAGUGUACAAGGUAUUAACUGUAGACAACGAUAAUUACACUUCAUUUAACUUAAGCUAGGCUAAACUUCAACUGCUAACAAAAAUGUAUCACAAAACAAAGCCUGACUUUAUUUCUUUGGUAAUAAAAUAUAUACGAUAUACUCCAAGGUCAAAUUAUUCUGCUGUCAUUACCAACCAGUAUAUUCCUUAUUUAAGACCACAGCUGUAAAAAUACAAAAUAAUACAUUUUAAACAUCAUCAACAAAUGAGAACGCACAUUAUCAUAUAUAUAUAUCAGACGAAAUACACACACACAGAACAUGAAAAAUAUCAACGCAUAUCACCAGAGAACAUUAUUAAAACUUUUCAGGAUCACUCUCAGAAUGCACAAUGUCACCACAUCUCAUUAGCGCUUACAUAACAUACAGUUUUGUAAUUAUCUUAUAAUUGUUUUGCAACUAAAUACUGGAUAAACAUAUCAGUCGUUAAUAGAAAUAACUUUUUCUUCAACUAUGAAAACCGGUUUUUCAUCUGUUUUUUCGCUCUAUUUGCAAUGUUUGUUCUCGUAUCAAAGCCUGUGUCAGGUGAAAGACGGCAGCAGUGUUGGCCACAUACACACGCUGCCUCUUUGGCUGAACUACAGUAUAUAAACUGUAUGUUUAACUCAUAGACACACACACACACACACACACGAGCGCUGCUAUUCCUCUGUACUGACUGCUUUGUAUAAACAAACCACAUUCAGGUGAUAAUCAGUUCUGACUCGUUGGACCAUGUGUUUCCUUUAGGUGUGGUUUGUGUGUUAAACACACACACACACACACACACACACACACACACACACACACACACACACACAUACACAGACAGAAAACUACUACUUCAACUUAUAGGUGCUUGAAGUUGUUGUGUCGGGGUUUCUUUUCACCUCAGGAAACAAUGGGCGAACAAGAAUAUGACUGUAGGUUUAGUCAGGGCUUUUUUUAAGAGAUGGUCUGUUUGUAAUGUUUUCCUUUUCCAUUUUACAAGAAUUCCCCAAGUAGAUGUGUCAAAAUGUGCACAGUACAGAGACAAUGACCGUGUAUUGUGUGCUGUGUGUGUGUGUGUGUGUGUGUCCUCUGUCCCGUGUUAUCAAAACAAAUGCACAUGGUGGCCCCUAGCGGAAUAAUGAGCAAAUAGCAUCCUUAUUGGAAUGAUAUCACAUGCUCACAACACAAACUAGAAACAUAUUUGGCCCUAAACAGACAGUUCACUAACUACAGUAACUUAUAAGAACCUGAGAAAAUCAUUGACGGUGUACAGACUGACUCUCUCUGGCUGCCCAGAGAUGACGGGCUGUGCUGUCAUUGUGAUGGAUGGAGGGAGCUGUAGAGACACAAUCACACUUUCUAACAGAAUGUCAAAACUACAGAAAUAUUACAGAGGAAUUCUUUCCAAAAUUUUGAAAAAAGCUGCCCCGAAUUCCCCGAAGUCUGACAGAAAGGGAGAAAUGAGCCCUCGUUCAUUCUGGGGGAAAAGAAAGAAUGUGCAGUGUUGCUGCUAAAUAUGUCACUUCCUGCCUCUACAAAAGAGACAACCAGUAGGACACAGACAUAUAAACAGACAUUUAUAAUUAUACUUGUAUUUACCAUAUUCUACUUAACGCCACCAUCUCCUUUUUUUAAUGUUAUUUAUAGACAAAUGGCUGUCUUGUAUUAAACCUACUAUUAACAUUUCUUUAUUUUAACAUUUAUUUUAUUAUCAGUAGAUUAAUUAAUUGCAUUGUUUUUGUUUGUCUCGCAUUGUUAAAAUCACAUUGAUAUUGUACCAAUACUAACUUGAUCACUUAUAUUACCAAUAUAUAUAUUAUUACUUUAUUUCAUUUAUUUAUUUCAUUAUAUAAUCUAUUAACUAAUAUUGUUUUUCAAUUUAUUUUUGUUGAUUUCUUUCUGUAACAUUGUCUUUCAUAUUUCGUAAUUGUGCUUUGGCAACACGUCAUGCCAGUAAAGCCUAUUGAAAUGAUUUGAAGUGAAAAGAAAGAUCAAAUUAACACUUUAAUCGACUAUAUUUGAAUCUCUGUAAUUGUUUUUUUUUUUAUUUUAUGGUUUACAUGUAUCAAUGCAGACUAUUAAUUCAUUGUUGUCCAUUCAGUACAAUACACUGUAUUUACUGCCUUAUAAUAGAAGAAUAAGAGAGGUGGAUUUAAGAAAUGCAACAUCUACACAAAGAAGGACUCAGUAUAAAGUGUGGAAACUUCCUCCUUUUGUUUCAGAGACACUUUUGUAAGAAUACUUGGGAUUUGCAUAUACAAGUUUACUGUAAUGUAAUGUGGCACCUCAGUAAUUUUUGAUUCAAAGUUGUGUCAGAGUCUGUCUACACUUGACUUAUCUGAGCAUCGUUAACUGCAGUCGUCGUCUUUGAAACGAGCCUUCCUGUAAAACUGAAUUUAAUUGUGAUUAGUCGCUGUGAGGCUUCUCUCUCGCCUUCAACAGCUACUAGUUAGAAGUUUAGCGUUAUGUUUUAGCAGUAUAUCUCCAAUAAAGCAAUAUAUUACUAUAUUUAUAUAUUACUAGUAGGUCAUGACAGCUGGUUUAAGGACACUUGAGGUGUUAAAAAAUAGAUUUUAUGAUUGUUUAACUUUGUAUUUUGUAAUUGUUGAGCUCUGUAUGUUUUGCUUAAUAUUUUUAUGAUGGAUUGUUUCAUUUUCAAGGUUCUGUUGAUUGUCACUGAAUCUUUACACGAUUAAUUGUUGUGUUACAGUUUAUAGGAGGCAUAUUCAAGCAUGGAGGGAUUGAUGAUAUGCUGCAUGUGUCGCUGUGUUAAGCGUAUGGGCAUAUUGUUGUGCCACAUGAGACGGUCCGGAUGAAAACGAUCCAAACCGGUAGUCUUUUUUUAGCGAAAUGCAAAAUGUGAGGAGGGUUUUCAUUCACCUCUCAGCUGGAAUCCUGAAUUUAGACUGUUAGACUUCAUGACUUCAUCCAACUGAAACGGCAGGUAGAUUAAACUCUCCAUCCACCUCUCAUCGUCCAUUUAACAAGAUAAAUGUUAGAUUGGAUCGUCUCUCCAACUGAUCCAAUCUAGCACCAACCAUUUAACAACCUGCAUACCACAUUGUAACAUUAUGUCAUAUUUUAGAUCUAUACUUUGGUAUAAUCUUGUACAAACAAUCAAAAUACUGGUUGCUGUAUGCAUCUCUGCUACAGUAUGAAUGACUCAGAGACUGACGGCGUGUUUGUCUGCUUUGAGGGAAUUAAGCGCUAAUGAGCCAAAGAGGCCCACCACUAAAAUUAACAUGAAGAAGAACGGUGUGAUGCCUUACUGACUGAUGUCUUUUCAUUCAUAUUUCAGCUAAAGGGAGUAAAUCUUUUUAUAUACAUUUCAGAGCAUACCGCAGUAUAUCUCACAUCACUCAAACAUAGCAAGAAAGUAGAUCAUUUACCCACAGAGAACGUCUUCCAUCUUUCUAAACGCCUAUAUAAUAACCCAAAGUUAAAAAUAAUAACAAACGUCAACAGCAACAUUAUCUCUCUCAUUUUUACUCGUCCAGAUCUCGUCCUUGUGGUCAGUCCUGGUUGAGGUCACAUAAGUUCAUUUUCCAUCUUCGAGAAACAUUUCAGCGGACUGUAUGUGGCACCAUAAAGCAUCUUGUUUGACAUGUUAUUUGGUCUCUAGCAAUAAUGCUGUAUGGUACCCACCAGAGAGGUGUUGCUCGGGGUUCUUGUAUGGUUUUGGCCCUUGGGUGAGCAUAAACUGCUGACUGAUUACCGCAUAUACUGUGUUAGCUUCCUAUAGUGAUCUACUGUACACAUAAUUGGAAUAAAAAUCAAUGAUUGUCUA